CAUUUCCUCCUGAAGACAAACACUUCAAUCUCAGCCUCCUGCACUAGAAACAGGUUAAGUGGCUGCAGUUCUACCAAAGCAAGGCCAAGGCUAAGAAAACAAAACCAUGUGUCAAGGACAGCAAUUUUGCAUACUAGGAACUCAAGGCAGGAAGCCUUAGUUCAGCCUGGAAAGAUACUGACGUGAAGAGUGAACCAGACCCACGAUUCUUUAUUUAAGGAAGGAAGAAACCCCAGCACACCUUACCUUCUUCCUAAGAAUGAAGCUUCCAUAUGUUAGUCAACACAAUGGUUUUGAAGCAGCACCAUCAGCUCUGGCUCCGACACUCCUGGUCUUUUUAGCUGAAAUUCCUUGCUACGGGGCACAUUUUUCUUCUGCAAGCAAAUGGCGUAGGAUGAGUAUAUGAAAC
rnacentral:lncRNA from 1 species